GGGGAAACAAAAGCAAACGAACAAACAAACAAACAAACAAAAACAAAAUGUGGAAACCUACCCGCGCUUUAAAACUUCGGUUUAAGAGGUCUCCCAGAGACCAUCGAGUUCCGCCGGAUAAAAAUUAAAAAACCAAAAAUUAAGAACUCAAACUUGUACACAUUUUAGACGGUUAAUUUCUUCUCUGUUCUUUUGUAAAUUACACAUUAAUAUUUUAUUUUUUAAAUUUUAAUUUUUUUAACUGGAAAAAGAACGAUCAAAUACAUGUAGAAAGCAAAGCAAAAGAAGUCUUCCAAGUGUACGCCAAGGUUGGGCUAUCCUUGCUACACUUCCCGGACUCAGCUACCUGCUGAACCGAAAUUCAAGCUACAACUUCCCCGGACAAGGAUUGAUACUGACAGUCGGCCAAACUUGCCCCCCUUCCAACGCAUAAGAUAUAGUUUUGGUUUAGGUUUCAAACUGAAUCAAAAUUGUAUCCAAAUUUCAUCGAAGGAAAUAUUUCCAACAAUAUUCCAAUAACUAGGACAAAAGUGUACCGCAAGGUUGGGCUAUCCUUGCUGCACUUCCCGGACUUACCCACCUGAUAGAACAAUUAAAAGUUGCUCCUGAGUUGCAACUUGCAGCUGACGAUGCAACUUUCCCUGACUUACCACCAGCUGAACCGAAAUUUGAACUACAACUUCCCCGGAUAUGGAAUGUCUUGGGCACUUCCCAUACUCCACAUCUCAUAAUAAUGUAAAACAAAAUAUACACGUGUCCAGAAAAAGGCUGAUACUGACAGACGCAGGAAAAUGAAAACUGAAAACGCAUCCGAUAUAGAUUUUUUAGGUUUCAAAAUUAAUCAAAAUGUUAUCCAAAUUGCAUCGGUGUGAUGUGCUGACACUUGAAGGAAAUAUUUCAAAAUGAAACAAAUGUAAAAUCCAUUUCGGAAAGCAAACUAUU